CCGGCAAAUCGGGCAAUCGCCCUAUGCCGCUUUGGAGCGGCCGGGAGGAAGGUCCGAACACCCAUUUUUCGCGCAAGCGGAAUCUAAAAAGAUAGUGGGUAACACCCAUCGGUCGAAAGACUAGAGGUGCGAACAGAGACGCCUAGGCCCGAAAGGGCCGAGGCGCCAAACAUAUAACUUGUUAUGUGCUUGGCGAGUCCCGCUGGCAACAUCGGGGGUGAAACGGCUAAAUCCUUAUCGGGCGCAAGAGCAAACCAGGAGUUCCGUGAUACAUCAUGGAACGCUUGUGAAAAGUAGCUCGCACGAGCCCAAGAGUAAUCACGGGCCCAGAUAGAUGAUUGCCUCGUCCCGCCUACGGCGGGACCAGACAGAAUUCGGCCUACAGAUUUGCCGGACAU
rnacentral:RNase_P_RNA from 6 species